rnacentral:rRNA from 1 species
AGAGUUUGAUCCUGGCUCAGAAUGAACGCUGGCGGCGUGCUUAACACAUGCAAGUCGAACGAGAACUCCCGAAGCUUGCUUUGGGAAAGUAAAGUGGCGAACGGGUGAGUAACGCGUGGGUAAUCUAUCCUUGAAUUCGGGAUAACUGACCGAAAGGUGAGCUAAUACCGGGUAACAUCGCAUUUGCCUUGGCGGAUGCGAUCAAAGGCAGCCUCUACAUGUAAGCUGUUGUUCGGGGAGGAGCCCGCGUACCAUUAGCUUGUUGGUGGGGUAAGAGCUUACCAAGGCGACGAUGGUUAGCUGGUCUGAGAGGAUGAUCAGCCACACUGGAACUGACACACGGUCCAGACUCCUACGGGAGGCAGCAGUGAGGAAUUUUGCGCAAUGGGGGAAACCCUGACGCAGCAACGCCGCGUGAGUGAAGAAGGCCUUCGGGUCGUAAAGCUCUGUCGAGUGGGAAGAACCUGUGGCAUGUUAAUGACAUGUCGCACUGACGGUACCAUUAGAGGAAGCACCGGCUAACUCCGUGCCAGCAGCCGCGGUAAUACGGAGGGUGCGAGCGUUAUUCGGAAUUAUUGGGCGUAAAGGGCGAGUAGGCGGCCUUGUAAGUCAGAUGUGAAAGCCCGGGGCUUAACCCCGGAAGUGCAUUUGAAACUACGGGCUUGAGUAUGGGAGAGGGAAGUGGAAUUCCUGGUGUAGCGGUGAAAUGCGUA